rnacentral:rRNA from 1 species
AAUAAACGCUGGCGGCGUGCCUAACACAUGCAAGUCGAGCGAGAAAGUUCCUUCGGGAGCAAGUAAAGCGGCGGACGGGUGAGUAACGCGUGAGAAUUUACCCUUUAGUGAGGAAUACCUCUGAGAAAUCAGGGCUAAUACUGCAUAAGUCCCUACGGGGAGAAAGGUGGCCUAUUUGCUGCCGCUAAAGGAUAAGCUUGCGGGCUAUUAGCUAGUUGGUGAGGUAAAGGCUCACCAAGGCGAUGAUGGCUAGCCGGCCUGAGAGGGUGUACGGCCACACUGGAACUUAGACACGGUCCAGACUCCUACGGGAGGCAGCAGUGAGGAAUAUUGCGCAAUGGGCGAAAGCCUGACGCAGCGACGCCGCGUGGAGGAUGAAGGUCCUUCGGAUUGUAAACUUACUGUUAAGUGGGAAGGAAGAUUAUCCUAAUAUGGAUAAAGGAAUGACGGUACCAUUAGAGAAAG